rnacentral:tRNA from 1 species
ACUACUUUGGCAGAUAAGUGCAAUGGAUUUAGAAUCCUUACAUGGAGAUGGGAUCUUCAGGUAGUA